UAUGAGAGUUUGAUCCUGGCUCAGGACGAACGCUGGCGGCGUGCCUAAUACAUGCAAGUCGAACGCUUCUUUUUCCACCGGAGCUUGCUCCACCGGAAAAAGAGGAGUGGCGAACGGGUGAGUAACACGUGGGUAACCUGCCCAUCAGAAGGGGAUAACACUUGGAAACAGGUGCUAAUACCGUAUAACAAUCGAAACCGCAUGGUUUUGAUUUGAAAGGCGCUUUCGGGUGUCGCUGAUGGAUGGACCCGCGGUGCAUUAGCUAGUUGGUGAGGUAACGGCUCACCAAGGCCACGAUGCAUAGCCGACCUGAGAGGGUGAUCGGCCACAUUGGGACUGAGACACGGCCCAAACUCCUACGGGAGGCAGCAGUAGGGAAUCUUCGGCAAUGGACGAAAGUCUGACCGAGCAACGCCGCGUGAGUGAAGAAGGUUUUCGGAUCGUAAAACUCUGUUGUUAGAGAAGAACAAGGAUGAGAGUAACUGUUCAUCCCUUGACGGUAUCUAACCAGAAAGCCACGGCUAACUACGUGCCAGCAGCCGCGGUAAUACGUAGGUGGCAAGCGUUGUCCGGAUUUAUUGGGCGUAAAGCGAGCGCAGGCGGAGGUGCGGCUGGAUCACCUCCUUUCUAAGGAAUAUUACGGAGACUACACAAUUUGUUUUUACUUUGUUCAGUUAGAGGAGAGUGGAAUUCCAUGUGUAGCGGUGAAAUGCGUAGAUAUAUGGAGGAACACCAGUGGCGAAGGCGGCUCUCUGGUCUGUAACUGACGCUGAGGCUCGAAAGCGUGGGGAGCAAACAGGAUUAGAUACCCUGGUAGUCCACGCCGUAAACGAUGAGUGCUAAGUGUUGGAGGGUUUCCGCCCUUCAGUGCUGCAGCUAACGCAUUAAGCACUCCGAGUUCAAUUGCUUAUUUUCUUGAUCUAACUUCUAUCGCUAGAAGAAGGAUCAAAACCCAACCGUAAGGUUGAUAAGGUUAGAAGCAACGCGAAGAACCUUACCAGGUCUUGACAUCCUUUGACCACUCUAGAGAUAGAGCUUCCCCUUCGGGGGCAAAGUGACAGGUGGUGCAUGGUUGUCGUCAGCUCGUGUCGUGAGAUGUUGGGUUAAGUCCCGCAACGAGCGCAACCCUUAUUGUUAGUUGCCAUCAUUCAGUUGGGCACUCUAGCAAGACUGCCGGUGACAAACCGGAGGAAGGUGGGGAUGACGUCAAAUCAUCAUGCCCCUUAUGACCUGGGCUACACACGUGCUACAAUGGGAAGUACAACGAGUUGCGAAGUCGCGAGGCUAAGCUAAUCUCUUAAAGCUUCUCUCAGUUCGGAUUGCAGGCUGCAACUCGCCUGCAUGAAGCCGGAAUCGCUAGUAAUCGCGGAUCAGCACGCCGCGGUGAAUACGUUCCCGGGCCUUGUACACACCGCCCGUCACACCACGAGAGUUUGUAACACCCGAAGUCGGUGAGGUAACCUUUUGGAGCCAGCCGCCUAAGGUGGGAUAGAUGAUUGGGGUGAAGUCGUAACAAGGUAGCCGUAUCGGAAGGUGCGGCUGGAUCACCUCCUU
rnacentral:rRNA from 1 species